rnacentral:rRNA from 1 species
UACGUAGGCAGCGAGCGUUGUUCGGAGUUACUGGGCGUAAAGGGUGUGUAGGCGGUUCUUUACGUUUGGUGUGAGAUCUCCCGGCUCAACCGGGAGGGUGCGCCGAAUACUGAGGGACUUCGAGUGCGGGAGAGGAAAGUGGAAUUCCUGGUGUAGCGGUGAAAUGCGUAGAUAUCAGGAGGAACACCGGUGGUGUAGACGGCUUUCUGGACCGUAACUGACGCUGAGACACGAAAGCGUGGGUAGCAAACAGG